UGGGGCUGGGGGUCACUUAUGGGGCUGGCGGUCAUUUAUGGGAAUGGGGGUCACUUAUGGGGCCAGGCUCACUUCUGGGCUCAUUAUGGGGCCAUUCUCCCUUAUGGGGUUGGACUCCCUUAUAGGGCUGGGGGUCACUUAUGGGGCUGGGGGUCACUUAUGGGAUUGGGGGUCACUUAUGGGGCCAUUCUCCCUUAUGGGGUUGGACUCCCUUAUGGGGCUGGGGGUCACUUAUGGGUCUGGGGGUCACUUAUGGGGCCAUUCUCCCUUAUGGGGUUGGGGAUCACUUAUGGGGUUGGGGGUCAUUUAUGGGGCUGGGGGGGUCAUUUAUGGGGUUGGGGAUCACUUAUGGGGCCAUUCUCCCUUAUGGGGCCAUUCUCCCUUAUGGGGUUGGACUCCCUUAUGGGAUUGGACUCCCUUAUGGGGCUGGGGGUCACUUAUGGGUCUGGGGGUCACUUAUGGGGCCAGGCUCACCCCUGGUCCCCCCCCCCAGUACUACUAUGACGUGGGGGCCCAGCAGUACCUCUAUUGGGACGGGCAGCGCCGCACUUACCUGCCCGCCCCCCCCGCCGCCUCCGAGCCCCCGCCGGGACCCCCGGGACCCCCGAAGGAACCCAAAGAUAAGAAGGAGAAACACAAAACCAAAACGGCCCAGCAGGUGGGGAAAGGGGGGGGGGGAAAGUUCUGGAAUGCCAGAGAAAGCAAUGGGACCCCAUAGAACACAAUGGGACCCCAUAGAAUCCCACAGAACGCAAUGGGACCCCAUAGAACCCAAUGGGAUGCCAUAGAAUCCCAUAGAACCCAUUGGGCCCCAUAGAACCCAAUGGGAUCCCAUAGAAUCCCAUAGAAUCCCACAGAACCCAAUGGGACCCCAUAGAAUCCCAUAGAACCCCAUGGGACACAAUGGGACCCCAUAGAACCCAAUGGGAUCACAUAGAAUGCCACAGAACUCAAUGCGACCCCAUAGAAUCCCAUAGAACUCAAAGGGACCCCAUAGAUCCCAUAGAACUCAAUGGGACCCCAUAGAACCCAAUGGGACCGCAUAGAAUCCCAUAGAACACAAUGGGACCCCAUAGAAUCCCAUAGAACACAAUGGGACCCCAUAGAAUCCCAUAGAACCCAGUGGGACCCCAUAGAACCCAAUGGUAUCCCAUAGAAUCCCAUAGAACCCAACGGGACCUCAUAGAAUUCCAUAGAACCCCAUGGGACCCCAUAGAAUCCAAUGACGCCCCAUAGAAUCCCAUAGAACCCCAUGGGACACAAUGGAAACCCCCCGCCCCCCCCCGGGACCCCCGGGACCCCCGAAGGAACCCAAAGAUAAGAAGGAGGAACACAAAACCAAAACGGCCCAGCAGGUGGGGAAAGGGGGGGGGGGGAAAGUUCUGGAAUGCCAGAGAAAGCAAUGGGACCCCAUAGAACACAAUGGGACCCCAUAGAUCCCAUAGAACCCCAUGGGACACAAUGGGACCCCAUAGAUCCCAAUGGGACCCCAUAGAACCCCAUAGAAUCCAAUGGGACACAAUGGGACCCCAUAGAUCCCAUAGAACCCAAUGUGACCCCAUAGAACUCAAUGGGACUCCAGAGAAUCCCAUAGAACCCAUUGGGCCCCAUAGAAUCCCAUAGAACCCCAUGGGACACAAUAGGGCCCCAUAGAUCCCAAUGGGACCCCAUAGGAUCCCAUAGAACACAAUGGGAACCCAUAGAACUCAAUGGGAUCC
rnacentral:lncRNA from 1 species